GUGGGGAAUAUUGCGCAAUGGGCGAAAGCCUGACGCAGCGACGCCGCGUGAGGGAUGAAGGUUUUCGGAUCGUAAACCUCUGUCAGAAGGGAAGAAACUACAUUGUGCUAAUCAGCAGUGUACUGACGGUACCUUCAAAGGAAGCACCGGCUAACUCCGUGCCAGCAGCCGCGGUAAUACGGAGGGUGCAAGCGUUAAUCGGAAUUACUGGGCGUAAAGCGCACGUAGGCUGUAGUGUAAGUCAGGGGUGAAAUCCCACGGCUCAACCGUGGAACUGCCUUUGAUACUGCACAACUUGAAUCCGGGAGAGGGUGGCGGAAUUCCAGGUGUAGGAGUGAAAUCCGUAGAUAUCUGGAGGAACAUCAGUGGCGAAGGCGGCCACCUGGACCGGUACUGACGCUGAGGCGCGAAAGCGUGGGGAGCAAACAGGAUUAGAUACCCGAGUAGUCC
rnacentral:rRNA from 1 species